UACCACUGGGCCUUCGCCGUGGCUGUGCCCCUCCACAAUAGCACCCCGUUGUGGCAGUCUACACCAACACAGCAGGAGUCCACCAGGCGGCGCUCUGGGAGUCCACAAUGGGGCAGUAGCAAUGCCAAGGAUUCAGCGAGAUAUUGGUCAAAUGAAAUUAUCCGAAGCAGCUAAUUUUGGGUCAAAUUAUCUCAAACCAAUGCCAAGGACGAUGGGUGAAGUUCACUUCUUCUAAACCUUGUAAUUCACUUCUCCUAAUUCAUGAAGUUCACAUCUCUGGAAUAGAUGAAACAGCAGUUCCAAAAUUCUCUUAUUUUCAUGUGCGAUGGUGCUAGCUUGGGAGAAUAAAGGGGUCUAGUGUCCACUGUCCAGUAAGCAUUCAGCCGCUGCAUCAACCAGGUGCCGCCGCAAGCUCGACCAAGCGUACUCUACCCUUUCUUUGGAGCUCAGCAGUUCACAUUUUACAGAGCAUCAGUUCACGUAUGCUGUGCAGCAGUUCACUGAGGAGUUGCCCUCAACGCUGGAGCUGUGCAGCCCUGGGAGACAGAAUUGUGAAGUCGGGAAAGCUAUAGCUUUGAAGUUCAGAGAGAUCUCAAUUUAUAGUUUUGGUUGAGAAAUUGAAUAAGUGAUGUGAACCAGAUUUGUAUUUCUAUUGUUUUGUUUCUCUCGCUUUGUUAAUGGUUUAGUGUUGAGACCGAAUGGAUGUGGUUCAUUGUAUGAAUUGUACGAGUUCACUUUUUAAGUACCAAAAAGUACACCGUGUUUACUGAAAGUUUUGUUUUUCUUGGAUGAUUAUUUAUGCAGCACAUUCACUCUGUAACUUCAAGUUCACUUUUAUUCUCUUGGCAGUUCAUUCUUUUUUUUGUAAAUUGUGUUGCAGCACACGGGCACUAUAUUUGCAUCGAUUGGUUCACUGGCUUCAAAUAGAAAAAGAAGUUCACCUCGUCCCCAUAUGAAGUUAGCUUAUUUUUAUUUUGGAAGUUUGUUUUGUAUAUUGAUAUUUUGUAUUUUGUGAUGCUGC